AGCGAACGCUGGCGGCAGGCUUAACACAUGCGAGUCGAACGGUCCUUUGGGAUAGUGGCGGACGGGUGAGUAACACGUGGGAACGUACCCUUAGGUUCGGAACAACACAGGGACACUUGUGCUAAUACCGGAUAAGCCCUUCGGGGGAAAGAUUUAUCGCCUUUGGAGCGGCCCGCGUCUGAUUAGCUUGUUGGUAGAGUAAUGGCUCACCAAGGCUACGGUCAGUAGCUGGUGUGAGUGGACGGCCAGCCACACUGGGACUGAGACACGGCCCAGACUCCUACGGGAGGCAGCAGUGGGGAAUCUUGCGCAAUGGGCGAAAGCAUGACGCAGCCAUGCCGCGUGGAUGAUGAAGGUCUUAGGAUUGUAAAAUCCUUUCACCGGGGACGAUAAUGACGGUACCCGGAGAAGAAGCCCCGGCUAACUUCGUGCCAGCCGCCGCGGUAA
rnacentral:rRNA from 1 species